rnacentral:rRNA from 1 species
AGAGUUUGAUCCUGGCUCAGGACGAACGCUGGCGGCGUGCUUAACACAUGCAAGUCGAACGGUAAGGCCCUUCGGGGUACACGAGUGGCGAACGGGUGAGUAACACGUGGGUAAUCUGCCCUGCACAUCGGGAUAAGCCUGGGAAACUGGGUCUAAUACCGAAUAGGACCACAGAACACAUGUCCUGUGGUGGAAAGCUUUUGCGGUGUGGGAUGGGCCCGCGGCCUAUCAGCUUGUUGGUGGGGUGAUGGCCUACCAAGGCGACGACGGGUAGCCGGCCUGAGAGGGUGUCCGGCCACACUGGGACUGAGAUACGGCCCAGACUCCUACGGGAGGCAGCAGUGGGGAAUAUUGCACAAUGGGCGAAAGCCUGAUGCAGCGACGCCGCGUGGGGGAUGACGGCCUUCGGGUUGUAAACCUCUUUCACCAUCGACGAAGGUCCGGGUUUUCUCGGAUUGACGGUAGGUGGAGAAGAAGCACCGGCCAACUACGUGCCAGCAGCCGCGGUAAUACGUAGGGUGCGAGCGUUGUCCGGAAUUACUGGGCGUAAAGAGCUCGUAGGUGGUUUGUCGCGUUGUUCGUGAAAUCUCACGGCUUAACUGUGAGCGUGCGGGCGAUACGGGCAGACUUGAGUACUGCAGGGGAGACUGGAAUUCCUGGUGUAGCGGUGAAAUGCGUAGA